GCUCAAUCUUUUCUACCUGUUCUUGAAUUUUUUUCAACGCAAUUUUGCUUUCUUUUCUGCAGCUAUGUAUAUAUUAAAGAACCCAUAAUAAGGAUUUUCGUGUUCUGGGUUUGGGGUAUUUCAAUUUAUUUUUUUGGUUCUUUAGGAUAUUUGAUUUUUUGGAAGUAUGAAUUAUGUGAAUUGAUGUUACAUGGCCUUAAUCUUUUUAUUUUGAUGAGUUAUUUAACGAAAUAUCAUGAAGUUGAAUAAUUUUAAUGAAAAUAAAGAUUGAGUUGAUUGAUGUCUUGAUUCGAAUGCCUGCUGCAUAAUCUUGUGUACUUGUUCUUUCUGGUUCAUUUGGCUUUGCUGAAUAUUUAUUAUUUGUAAAGAUUUGUGAACAGGGGAAAUGGCUCUCGCAUUGAUUGGAGAAUCAAUUCUUGCUGCAGUCCUUGAAGUUUUGAUGGAGAGGAUAGUUUCUCCUGCGGUUAGGGACUUCUUCAAGAGCCAAAAAAUCGAUGAUGAAGAAUUGAAGAAGUUGAAGGCAAGGAUGAGGUCUGUUAGUAAACUGCUCAAUGAUGCAGAGGAGAAGCAGAUUACUGAUGCAGCUGUGAAAGAGUGGCUUGAUGAGCUUAAGGAUGCUGUCUAUCAAGCUGAUGACUUCUUGGAUGAGAUUGCUUAUAAAGCUUUGCGGUUGAAGUUGGAAGGUGAAUCUCGAAGUCAGACCUGCACGGAUCAGCUUCGAAGCUUUCUCGCUUCUCUUAAUCCAUGUAGAAAGGGGGUGAGAGAGGUGCAAAUAGAGUUGGCAAAGAUCCUUCGAAGUUUAGAAGAGUUAGUGGGACAAAAGGAUGUUCUUGGUCUGAUAGAGCGCAUUGGGGAGAAACCAUCGUCGCGGAUAACACCAACUUCUUCUCUGGUAGAUGAAUCUGGAGUUUAUGGAAGGGAUGCUGAAAAAGAAGCCAUAAUGAAGUUGCUGCUAGCAGAUGAUACAAAAGGCAGGCACCUAGAUGUGAUUUCGAUAGUGGGUAUGGGAGGGGUUGGUAAAACCACCCUUGCUCAGCUUCUCUAUAAAGAAAUUGUUGUUUCCAACGACAGAAGCCAGAAGAGCUCGUUUGAUCUCAAAGCCUGGGUUUAUGUUUCGGAAGAAUUCGAUGUUCUCAAAGUAACAAAAGAUAUUCUGAAGGGGGUUGGCUCGAUGAAUUGUGACAACAUGACUGAAGAUCAACUCCAUUGCGAGCUGGAGAAGAAAUUGUCAGGGAACAAACUAUUGCUUGUUCUAGAUGAUGUUUGGAGCGAUAACCAAUCUCAGUGGGAAUUUUUACUGAAACCUUUCAUGUCCGUGAGACAGGGAAUUAAAAUUAUCGUUACAACGCGCAAUGAAAACGUAGCAUCAAUCAUUUCUUCUGUUUCAACUCAUCAUAUAAAGAAGUUAUCUGACGAUGAUUGUUGGUUGGUGUUGUCAAAACAUGCAUUUGAUGGUGGAAAUCUCAGUGCCCAUCCAGAGUUGGAAUUAAUUGGUAGACAGAUAGCGAGGAAGUGCAACGGCCUACCUUUGGCUGCAAAAACACUUGGGAGUCUCCUGUGCUCCAAUAGAGUUAAGAAGGAGUGGAUGAAGAUAUUAAAGAGUAAUUUUUGGGAAUUGCCAAAUGACAACAUUCUGUCACCUCUACGGUUGAGUUAUCAUCAUCUCCCAUCUCAUUUAAAACGAUGCUUUUCAUACUGCGCUAUAAUUCCGAAGGGUUAUAAAUUCACAAGGGAGGAGAUAGUCCUUUUAUGGAUGGCAGAGGGCUUUUUGGUGGAACCCAGAAGAAAUAAUGAGAUGGAAGAAAUAGGCUAUGAGUACUUCAAUGAGCUUGUGGCAAGGUCAUUUUUUCAGCAAUCAAGUCCUAGUUCAUCAUUAUUCGUAAUGCAUGACCUCAUUAAUGAUUUAGCUAGAUUUGCAUCCGGAGAUUUUUGCUUCAGGCUAGAAGGUGAUGAUUCAAGCAAGACUACUGAAAGGACUCGCCAUUUAUCAUACAGAGUAGCAAAAGAUGACUCUUAUCAGACAUUCAAGGCAAUCAAGAACCCCCAAUUGCUGCGCACCUUGCUAUGUCCGAGUGGUUGGCCUAGACACAUGAUACAACAAGUUGAGGUAAUAUGUAAUUUAUUGCCUGCACUCAAGUGCCUCAGAGUGCUAUCAUUGCACCCCUUUCAUGAUAUAUCUGUGUUGCCUAAUUCAAUUUGCAACUUGAAGCAUUUACGGUAUCUUGAUCUCUCUCACACAAAGAUUACAAGGCUCCCUGAAUCAAUGUGCAGUCUGUAUAAUUUGGAAAUUUUGAACUUGCACUUUUGUGUUAAGCUUGUUGAGUUGCCAGUUAACAUGAGAAGCUUAAUCAACUUGCGUCAUCUUGAUCUUCAACACACAAAAUUGCCAGAGAUGCCACUGCAAAUGGGUAAACUAACAAAGCUUCGAAAAUUAACUGAUUUCUUUAUCGGAAAACAAAGUGGCUCUAACAUUAAAGAGUUGGGAAAGCUUCAACAUCUAUCUGGUGAUCUUUCUAUUUGGAAUCUUCAAAAUGUCACAGAUGCUCGAGAUUCUUUUGAAGCGAAUUUGAAGGGUAAAGAGCAUCUUGAGAAGUUGGAGUUAGUAUGGGAUUGUGAUAUGGAUAAUCCACUCGUCCAUGAAAGGGUACUUGAGCAACUUCAACCUCCUGUGAAUGUCAAAAUUCUCUCCAUUAUUGGGUAUGGAGGUACAAGAUUUCCAGAUUGGGUUGGGAACUCCUCUCUUCCUCUCCUCCAAGAGCUUUACAUCAGAAGCUGCCCCAACCUGAAGAAGGCCCUCUUUACUCACUUCCCUUCUUUAACCAAACUUGAUAUCAGGGCAUGUGAGCAGUUUGAGAUCGAGUUUUUCCCAUUAGAGUUGUUCCCUAAAUUAGAAUCUCUUACUAUUGGUAGUUGUCCUAAUUUAGUAUCUUUCAGCAAAGGAAUACCCCUUGCCCCAAAUUUGAAAGAGUUUCAGUUAUGGAGUUGUUCAAAUUUGAAGUCAUUGCCUGAGAAUAUGCAUACACUUCUACCUUCCCUUGAGAAAUUGUCCAUAUUUCAUUGUCCGAAACUCGAGUCAUUUCCAGUAGGGGGUUUGCCCUCCAAACUUAAAGGACUUGCUAUUUGGGGUUGCGACAAACUCAUUGCAGGCCGCGCACAAUGGGAUUUGCAAUCACUCCAUGUUCUUUCAAGAUUUUCAAUUGCAGACAAUGAUGUUUUGGAGUGCUUCCCUGAGGAGACGCUACUGCCCUCAAGCCUUACCCGUCUUGAAAUCAGGACACAUAAAAAUCUGAAAUCUCUUGACUACAAGGGACUUCAACACCUCACCUCUCUUAGAGAGUUGAUAAUUAUGAACUGCAUGGAGGUUUCCAUGCCAGAAGAGGGGCUGCCCCCCUCCAUUUCUUCUCUAACUAUCUGGCAAUGUCCUUUGCUGGAAAAGAAGUGUGAAGGGGAGCUGAAGUUCCCAAAAUACAUCAGAGAUCCAGAAUAUAUGACAUCAGGAAGAAAAUCAAUUUAAUCCAACUUGAUGAGGCGGUCUGAGGAACUACUUCACAACUAUAAAUGGGAAAUAAAACAACUUAUCAGCACACAAAAGAUGACUAGGGUUAUUUUCUAUUCUGUUGGGUACUAUCUUCCCAAGUGCCUUCCAGAAGGACUUGCAUAUAUACUUUUAAUUUUGCAAAGCUUGGCAUGUCUCGGGAGGGGUUCUGGUCCAAAAGAGCAACGAGGAGAAGGAAGCUUGCGUAUGCUUUCAUACUUUCAAAUGUGAAACUAUUCCUUUUGAACUUCAAAUCGAGUGUAUUUGAGGAAAGCAGGGACCCUCGGGCGCAUCGUUGGAAUUUUCCUAGUUGUCUAAUAGUGCAAACUGUCUCUGCUCAAGUAAGCUUGGUCUGCCUUGAUCUAAAUUGCUGGGUCAUUAUUUUGUACUUGUUCUUGACUUUGUAUUUCGUGACAUUGCCGGCCUGUAAAAUUUAAUUUGGUCGAGUUAAUGAUGUUGAUGCAACUUAAUGAAUUAUGCUAUUUUUUAAAAUAAUUUUUUUAGUAA